CAGAAGCAGCUUCCUGCCAGGGGCAAGUACUUCUUGGUGGAGGCUGGAACCAUGUCGAUGAUGACCUACUUGUCAGAGUCCAGGCUAGCGUGUGCUGAUGGCACGGGGACUGACACUCUGGGCUCACAGCCCACACGGAGCCAAGAGGGGAGGCUCUUUUGCUGAGGUGCCCACGGUGACAUCAGAAGUUUGCUCCUCAGCCAGCACCAGGAAGGCGACGCGUGUGAGCAGCCUGGGUUCUGAACCUGAUCCUGGCCUUGUGAUCUAAUUUAUAAGAGGACACGCAGAAGUUUUCAGCUGCCCAGAGCUUUUAUGGAGGCUUCAUGUGUGGCUCCCCCAGGAGCUCUGACAGCCUUUAGGAAAAGAGGGUGGCAGCUUGGAUUUCCUUCCUGUUGCUGAGAAAAGGAUGACUGGAGUACACGGAGCUGAUUCAGGACAAGAAUCAUGUGUUCUUUUUCAAAUGUCCUUCCACCCAAGUACAAAGCUGGACACAGCAGGCACAGGCAGCCCACGGUGUGGCCGUGUUCCAGAAAAACCUAGGCCAGAGUCCUCUAAGAACCUUCCUGAGCCAGAACCUAGGGCUAGCAGUGGGAAAGUUAGAAGGGGGAGAACGCUGUAACUAGGAUCUGUAACCAGUUACAGAACCUUCUAAACUGCUUGUAGUGCUCUUAGGUUUGCUACUGAAACUGGAUUUCCAAGGCAUCUACUUGUGGCCUAAAAUUAUCUUUUUUUUUUUUUCACCCAUUGCAAAAGAGUUUAUUGAAGAUAAAAAGAAAACAGAGAGAACACCUCAAGAGAGAAGUGGGCCAGGCCAAGGGACACAGUGGUCCCACAGGGCUGGGGUGUAGAGUUUUUAGUACAAUUAUCUUUAAAUUCACAUCGAACGGUAGAAAAUUAUUAAAGCUCACACUUCCAAUACUAUCUGGGCUAGCGCAGGAGAGAAUUGUGAAACACCAUGCACAUGCAUUUUAAACCUGUGCUGUGCGACUUGGUUUUAACACGUGGAAUCUGUGGUGACUGUUUUUGCUCCGUGAAGGUGCUGCACCUCUUUCAGUCCUGAGCUUAGAAUGAUAAGCAGAUUUGAAGGUCAUGAGUGACAGCAGACAGGAUGGUCCCCUUAUUUCCUGUGCUUCCUCUCUGGGGAGAGGCGGGAGGACUCCAGAGAAAAAAAGAGAUGGGAAGGAAAACAAGUCAACCCAGCAGAGAGGAGAGAGAAUGGUGACAGACAGCAGGAGCUGCCAGCAAACAUCUGAUGCCCUGCAUCGCUCGGAGGAGAGGAGACAAGUCUUCCCAAAUCCAGGCGCCCCAACAUGAUUGCAAAAGCCACACCCAUCGGCCCACAGACAGCCAGCACUGCUGCAGAACCAGUGAGACACCUUGGGAAGCUGCCUGAGUUUCUGGUCACAUCCCUGUACAAGCUGCCUUUGGCCCUGCUGGAUGCUGGAAUCCCAGCACGGGAUGACCCAGAGCUGCCUUUUGUUCAAGGCAAAGUUCAUUUCAGAAAUGUCGUCCUCGAUGUUGUUCUCGGGCUUAGAGCUCAUUCCUUCUCCCACCGGCCGCCGCAGGGCUGACUGAGCACGCGCGCCCGAGGCACUCCGCGAGCUUUGAUGUCAACAGAGGUAGGCAGGGCAGGCCCCUGUGGAAAACUGUGAAGUCAGCAGAGUUAUCGCCGGCACUCCUCCCUUCCCCCUUGCUUCCCCUUUCUCCACCCAUUUCCCCCCUCUCAGCGUCCAGCUUCUCAUUUCCCAGGGGACCCUGCAAUAGAAGGAAAGCCGCUGUCCUGAGAUACGAGGGGGCCAGCUCAAGGCUCCAGCUAUCAAAGUAUGCUUUUUCCCCCACGUCUAAAACAAACAAAGGAACGCAUUCCAUACAUUUCCGAAGAGGGGAGAGUGCACGCAGAAACCUCGCGUCCUUUGUGCUGUCUCCCUGAAACCCCAAGAGUUUGGGGCCUCGAGUUUGAAUCUGUAUUCUUGCCUCCUGGGGUUUUAAAAAGAUUCAAAAGUGCCUCAAACCAAUACAGCGGCUUGGUUUAUGGCUCACAUUGAAACCACAAAUUAUAAAAUGAUAAAUCCCUGCUCAAAGCUCUUCCAGGAAAGACUAUGUUGUCAAGAUUAAGUUACAGCCUCAUGGACCUAUGAGUGAGUCGAGCUGCUGACUAACUCUCACACUUCUUUUCCUGCCGAAGAUGUUUUUCCUUCGUGAACUUUCACUGUUUCUGAAUACUUUAAACAAAGAAAAUGAUUGAAGGCAGGAAAAACAUCGGGGACUUCUUAACGCGUGGAGCUUUUUACAGGCUUUAUUAUGUAACGGCUGCUUUCGUUUUGUGAGACCCAAAGGAAGUUUAAGAAAACUUUUUCUUCUUGAGCACUUAACUGCCAGAGAUGAGUGAGAAAUGGCUUCACGUGGGCAGCUCCACUCACUUCAAACUCUAGCUGGAACGUGUAGCCUGUGGUAAAUCAACACUGGUUUUAAGGAAUUUGGGUCUUAAAGUAUCCGUUUGGUGAUUUGGGCAGGAUUGCAACAUAAAUUACUGUAUUUUGUUCCCGUGAAAUGAAUUUUUUUGGAAUUCUCUUACAGGGUCUGGUCUAGUGACAGAGUAUGACAAAUAACUAGGCCACAUGUGUGCUUUCCUGUAAGGACACUCCUCUCUGCCAGGGUUUUGGCAGGCACGAGGAGGCGAGGUGGAAUGCUUGGUUGAGGCCCCUAUCUUGCCGCGCCUCCGGGCCUGGCACACUGACCUCAUUUUGAUCACCUGGGGCUGCAGGAAGAGACUCAGUCGUCCAUCCUUCAUGUUUCGCCAGCACAGCGCCUUGGUUACACAACUCUGAUCUGGUUUCUCCAAAGCCACUCACGUCUUGAGGACCAUCAGACCAUGAGUCAUAAUCACUUUAGCAUUUGCUCUGAAGUUCCCUCUUGUUGAUUUUACACCUCAGGCCCUUUGGUUUCUCUCUUUCUUGGGCUUCUUGGGUCCUGAGUGGCAGUUUUUGUUUUCUGAUGUCAUUUCUAGUUAUCGCCCACACCAGCCAUGGCAGGGCCUGCCACGGCAACUCUUGUCUCUGCUUUUCUUGAAGUCAGCCCUGCUGUCAUUACUGCUGCUUUUUCUGGGACAUUUCAAGUUGUGGAGAGAGUUCUUUUCCUGUGAUUAUAGCUCUUUCUUCCAAUUUUGACUAGUCUGGCAUCUGUAUGAUUAUAGCUCAUUAGGACUCCUGAGGCUAGGAGGCACUUUUUUUUAAAUGCUGCCUUGCUUUUAUUUUUAUUUUUUUAUUUUUAUUUAUUUAUUGGCUACGUUGGGUCUUCAUCGCUGUAAGCGGGCUUUCUCUAGUUGCAGCGAGUGGGGGCUACUCUUCGUUGCAGUGGACAGGCUUCUCAUUGUGAUGCCUUCUCUUGUUACAGAGCAUGGGCUCUAGGCGCUUGGGCUUCAAUAGUUGUGGCACGUGGGCUUAGUUGCUCUGCGGCAUGUGGGAUCUUCCUAGACCAGGGAUUGAACCUGUGUCCCCUAUGUUGGCAGAUGGAUUCUUAAGCACUGGGCCACCAGGGAAGUCCCUGUUUUUUUAAAUAACAUGUAUUAUAACUUAUUUUUGCAAGGAACUAUAAAGAUGAAAACAAUAAUGGUCAUUAAUCCCACAGUCCAGAUUACUACUAACAGCAUUUUAAAAAAUAAAAGUAAUAUGUGCAUGGGAAGAAAAUUAAAGCAAUAAAAAGGGUAUAAAAAAUAAAAGCUCCCUUUUCUGCCCCUGAGUGCCUUCCCCAAAUAUAACUACCAUUAUUAUUUUGGUGUACCCUCAUUAUGCAUAUCCUUUAACAAAAUCUUACAUAAAAAUGAUCUUACUAUACCUGUCAUUCUACAUUUUGCUUUUUUCACCUAAAUUGCUAUCUUAGAGAUCUUUCCACGUGUACACUGCAGAUAUACUGCUUACUUUUAACGUCUGCAUAGUCUUUGUUAGAAGAGAAUGUGCCUUCCAAAUAAAAGGCAUUCAAUUAAAAUAAUUCCAGGCCCUUUUCUGUCCCUUUACUUCCUCUGUUUCCUGAGUCUAAAGUGACUUAUCUGACUAACAAGUUUGGAGGAAUAACCUAGGCAUGCUAAGUUCAACUCUUCCCUUUCUGAGAUUCAGUUUUCUCAUGAUUUUCACCAUGGGGAGAAAAACUAGUACCUUCCUUGUAUAGAGGUUAGAUGAGUUAAUAUAUGUAAAGCUCUAACGCAUAGAAAUAGUAAGUGCUAGUUCCAUAAUUAUUCCUACAUGUGUCAUACUGGGACUUGCUCUCUCCCUUAACAAUAUAUCUUAGGGAUUAUUCCACAGCAGUAUAUAUAGACAUACCUCGUUUUAAAAGUAUGGUGUUUCAUAGUAUAACCACACUGCAGAUUAUUUAGAUGUGCCCCUAUUUGGGUUGUGUCUGGCAUUCAACCCUUUCUGCUCUGAGGAUACAGAGUUCUGGAGUCAAUUAGUGUAAGCUUCACCUGCCAUAAGUAUAUUUCACUUUAUUUACUUGUUUUAGCAAAUGCUUUUUUUUUUUACUUUUUAAUAUUUAUUUAUUUAUUUAUUUUUGGCUGUGUUGGGUCUUAGUUGUGGCACGCGGGCUCUUCAUUGCAGCACACAGUCUUCUCUCUAGUUGCAACUCUCAGGCUUAGCUGCCCCACAGCAUGUGGGAUCUUAGUUCGCCGACCAGGGGUUGAACCUAUGUCCCCUGCAUUGGAAGGCUGAUUCCUAACCACUGGAUCACCAGGGAAGUCCCUAUUUCACAUUAUCUAUUUAACAAAUGUAUAUCGUUUACUAUCUGUCCCACAAUGUCCUAAUCACCUUUAAAGAUGUUAACUCAUUAAUGCUCAUAGUGAGUCUUUUGAAGUAGGAGCUAUUUAAUCCCCAUAUUACAGAUCGAGAAACUGAGGCACGGAGAGGUUAAGUAACUUACCUGAGAUCGCAUGCCUGGGAAAAGGAGUGCUGGAAUUCCAACCCAGGCAGUCUGGCUCCCAAGUCCAUACUCUUGACCUCCCUGUCCACACUGUGCACCUCUCUUUGUUCUAAAAUCUGUGACAUCAUUUCAAUAAGACCCUGAGCCUCAUCUUGUCACAUUUCACACCCCUAUUGUGGAUGGGAAUUCAGCUUUUUUUGGAAUAUACUUAGUAAUAUACAGGUAAUUUAAAAGAGAACGUGAUUGAUGAAUCAACCUGACCCCUUAAACUACCAAGAGCUAGCUUUUCUAAGGAUUGUUCUAACAAAAGCCAGCCAGUGUUGAGAAAGCCCUUCAAGUGAUGAUACCAGCACUUGCCUUCAGAGGCCCCAGGUCUGGGCUCUCAACUCUGCCUCUCUGUGCCACGCUGGCCCACUAAGCAGACUCACAAUGCAGGUCAGCGGACAGCCUUAAAAUAAACGAACAUGUUUGUGUUGUGCCCAGUUAUGCAACAGCGUGUAUCCAAUUAGGUAGUGCAAAACUCAUGCAAAAAAUCUUUCCUUUUCCCGACUCCUGCUGUGUAUGAGUCUUUGACUGACUUGGCCAACUCAAAUUCCUAAAAUACUAAGGUUCAGAAAGUCUGGUCAAAGUUUGCUAAUUAAAUACAAAACCCUGCCUCCUCUGUCCUUCAUCACUGCCCCCAUCCCUACCCUCAAGCUACUUUAGCUUUUAGACGUGUCCACUGAAUGCUUUUUUCUUUAAAGAUAUGGGUGAGAUAUUUCUUUUGGAGUAUGUCCAGACAAUCUGGCAAUCCACGCUUGAAGUUAGCCGCAGGGGAGAAUAUUUAUUAAAGAAAAACAAACAAGGAACAAAAAAUAAAAUAAGGACAGAUCAUGGAUUUAACCCUCUUUUGAAAUCAGAAUAUCCUCCAAAUGGAAGACUUUAUCAAACUGAAGCAUUUAAUUUUUUUUUUUGCUUUGUUAAUGGAAAAAAUAUGUAUACAUACAUAAUUUAAUGUUCUGGAAAGUUCUUAAUGAUUAGAGUUUUUUUCAUUUCAAAAGUUAUUGCUUAUUCUAACAUACUAAAACCUAUAUUUUUCCCUUUUAUAAAUAAACUUCUAUCUCUGGAGUCUGUCUUUUAGAAAGAAAGUACUUAAGGCCAAUUUUCUACCCAUCCUGAAGCUUAAAUUUUGGCUCAAGGAACUUCCUGUCCUGUUCCAGCUGUGACAUGUUGAAUAUAAACCUGGCAAUUGGAGACAACUUGCUAUACUUUUUGAGCCUUUGCUGUGGCUCUAGCCCUUUAUGUCUUAGGAAAUAGGGUGGGAGAUAGGGAGAGAGAGUGGGGGGAUCUCCGAUGAAAACAGGAAAUAGGGUCUUCCGGCCUCCCCAGGGCCUUCUUUCUAUUCCUUUAGUCUUUACAGCAUCCAAGGGGAUGAAUUGCCUCUACUCAUACAGGCAAACCUCACUUUACUGUGCUUCACUUUUUUGUGCUUUGAAGAUAUUGUGCUUUUUUACAAACUGAAGGUUUAUGGCAACCCUGCAUCAAGGAAAUCUAUCAGCGUCAUUUUUCCAAUAGCAUUUGCUCAUUUCAUAUCUCUGUGUCACAUUUUGGUAGUUCUAGCAAUAUUUCAUGCUUUUCCAUUAUUACUUUACUUGUUAUGGUGACAGUGAUAUUUCAUGUUACUGCUACUACUCGCUGAAGGCUCAGAUGAGUUAGCAUUUUUUAGCAAUAAAAUAUAUUUAAAUUAAGGUAUGUACUUUGUUUUUUUAGACAUAAGGCUAUUGCACACU